GCUCUGUUCGUCUAAUCGGUUAAGACUCCGUACUCAUAAUACGGACAAUGAGAGUUCAAGUCUCUCGCAGAGCACAU
rnacentral:tRNA from 1 species